CACGUAGGGCGCAAGCGUUGUCCGGAAUUAUUGGGCGUAAAGGGCUCGUAGGCGGUCUGUCACGUCGGGAGUGAAAACACGGGGCUUAACCCCGUGCCUGCUUCCGAUACGGGCAGACUAGAGGUAUGCAGGGGAGAACGGAAUUCCUGGUGUAGCGGUGAAAUGCGCAGAUAUCAGGAGGAACACCGGUGGCGAAGGCGGCUCUCUGGGACGGUACUGACGCUGAGACGCGAAAGCGUGGGGAGCGAACAGG
rnacentral:rRNA from 1 species